rnacentral:lncRNA from 1 species
GAACAAAUUAUCCAACUUGAGGAUUCGCAAGGUAGAGUCACCCUGAAAGUAUCAAAUGAGUUGGCAGAAAGGAUUGCAACUGGAAACGGAGGACCUGUUUGGUUCCUCUGGGGUGGGCAGAGUCCCAGAGGGCACGGUGGUCUCCACUGCACUUCAUCCAAGUUCCCAGCCAGAGGCCAUCCAGCCAACAAGGCACACACCUGUAAAGACGCCAGCCCCAGCUCCUCCGCCUUCAGCUGUUUCAGCCUCCUCCACCAGACCAAGGCCAGCGACUCCAGAAACACUGAAAGAUAUUGCUGACAUGCAAAAAAGUAUGCUACAUGCCUUAAAUAACUUGUCUAAAGAAUAAAGCCUUACAAUGAGUGGCCAUUUGUUUUGCAAUAUUAUGCAUGAACACAGGGUUCCUACUG